GAUGAACGCUGGCGGCGUGCCUAAUACAUGCAAGUCGAGCGAACAGACGAGGAGUUUGCUCCUCUUACUUUAGCGGCGGACGGGUGAGUAACACGUGGAUAACCUACCUAUAAGACUGGGAUAACUUCGGGAAACCGGAGCUAAUACCGUGUAAUAUAUUGAACCGCAUGGUUCAAUAGUGAAAGACGGUUUUGCUGUCACUUAUAGAUGGAUCCGCGCCGCAUUAGCUAGUUGGUAAGGUAACGGCUUACCAAGGCAACGAUGCGUAGCCGACCUGAGAGGGUGAUCGGCCACCCUGGAACUGAGACACGGUCCAGACUCCUACGGGAGGAAGCAGUAGGGAAUCUUCCGCAAUGGGCGAAAGCCUGACGGAGCAACGCCGCGUGAGUGAUGAAGGUCUUCGGAUCGUAAAACCCUGUUAUUAGGGAAGACCAAAUGUGUAAGUAAAUAUGCACGUCUUGACGGUACCUAAUCAGAAAGCCACGGCUAACUACGUG
rnacentral:rRNA from 1 species